GACGAACGCUGGCGGCGUGCUUAACACAUGCAAGUCGAACGGAAAGGCCCUGCUUUUUUGGUGUGCUCGAUUGGCGAACGGGUGAGUAACACGUGAGUAACCUGCCCUUGACUUUCGGAUAACUUCAGGAAACUGGGGCUAAUACCGGAUAGGAGCUCCUGCUGCAUGGUGGGGGUUGGAAAGUUUCGGCGGUUGGGGAUGGACUCGCGGCUUAUCAGCUUGUUGGUGGGGUAGUGGCUUACCAAGGCUUUGACGGGUAGGCGGCCUGAGAGGGUGACCGGCGACAAGGGGACUGAGAGAGGGAGCAGACGGCAACAGUGGACAGAAGGGGGGAAUAUUGUACAAUGGGAGGGAGCCGGAUGAAGCAGCGCUGCGGGUGGGAAGACGGUCUGUGGGGUGAAAAACGCUGUCGGUUGUGACGAAGCGUGAGUGACGGUAAUGGGUAAAGAAGCACCGGCUAACUACGUG
rnacentral:rRNA from 1 species